UCGUGCCUAUACUCCGCCGUCAAUGGCAACGCAGAGGCGGUUACCUCACGGUGACGGCGCUGUUAAGCCUUGACGAGUAAGAGGGCCGCGGCGAUGUGCGCAGAAGGGUUUUGGGCGUGAGCCUGCCUGGAGCCGUCGUCGGUGCAGAUCUUGGUGGUAGUAGCAAAUACUCCAGCGAGGCCCUGGAGGACUGAUGUGGAGAAGGGUUUCUUGUGAACAGCUGUUGCACAAGAGUCAGUCGAUCCUAAGCCCUAGGAGAAAUCCGAAGCGAUGGGUUGCCGUUAAACGAAUGCUUUAAAACAUUUGCUUUGUUGGCACCAUCUGGGCGAAAGGGAAUCCGGUUCCUAUUCCGGAACCCGGCAGUGGAACCGUUCCAAAUCGGGCCCUCAUUGAGGACUCGUCAGGGCAACCUGAGAAGACCCGGAGACGCCGUCGGGAGAUUUGGGGAGAGUUGUCUCUUCUCUAUAAGCGUUCGAGUUCCCUGGAAUCCUCUAGCAGGGAGAUAGGGUUUGGAACGCGAAGAGCACCGCAGUUACGGCGGUGUCCAAAUCUUCCCCACGGACCUUGAAAAUCCGGGAGAGGGCCACGAGGAACCCCACGCCGGCUCGUACCCAUAUCCGCAGCAGGUCUCCAAGGUGAAAAGCCUCUAGUCGAUAGAUUAAUGUAGGUAAGGGAAGUCGGCAAAUCCGAUCCGUAACUUCGGGAUAAGGAUUGGCUCUGAGGAUCGUGACGUUGCCGGGCUUGAUGGAGAAUCAGUGCCGUGUCAACGAGCCGGGCCUGGGCGAGGAGACGGGUGUUAACGCACUCCUGAACCGAGCUCGGUCCCGUGCCUUGACCACCUGAGGACCUUUCUUGCUGCGAGCUUUCGGCUGUCAAGUUGCCGUCCUUGUGACGGUGGACGGGCCGAUUGUUUCUUCGGCCGUCAUUCAACGAUCAACUCAGAACUGGCACGGACCAGGGGAAUCCGACUGUCUAAUUAAAACAAAGCAUUGCGAUGGCCCCAACGGGUGUUGACGCAAUGUGAUUUCUGCCCAGUGCUCUGAAUGUCAAAGUGAAGAAAUUCAAGCAAGCGCGGGUAAACGGCGGGAGUAACUAUGACUCUCUUAAGGUAGCCAAAUGCCUCGUCAUCUAAUUAGUGACGCGCAUGAAUGGAUUAACGAGAUUCCCUCUGUCCCUAUCUACUUUCUAGCGAAACCACGGCCAAGGGAACGGGCUUGGAACAAUCAGCGGGGAAAGAAGACCCUGUUGAGCUUGACUCUAGUCUGGUACUGUAAGGAGACAUGAGAGGUGUAGCAUAAGUGGGAGAUGGCUCUGCCAUCGACAAUGAAAUACCACUACUUUCAUAGUUUCCUUACUUACUUGAUGAAGCGGAAGGCGUCAGUCGGGGUUUUUACUUCGGCUCGACGGACUUCUUGCGCCAAACGCCAAGGGUUGCCGGUAGUCGUUGGAGAAGUGGGACGGCCACUGUGGUGGGUGAGUCACUCUUCCGGGAGUGUGCUUCCUGCUGCUGGGUCUUUCACGGAUCUGGCGUGCUUUUCCGGCAACAAUCUCCCUAGCGUGAUCCGAUUCAAGGACACUACCAGGCGGGGAGUUUGACUGGGGCGGUACAUCUGUCAAAUAAUAACGCAGGUGUCCUAAGGUCAGCUCAGCGAGGACAGAAACCUCGCGUAGAGCAAAAGGGCAAAUGCUGGCUUGAUCCCGAUGCUCAGUGCGCAUAGGGACUGCGAAAGCACGGCCCAUCGAUCCUUUUGGCUUGAGGAGUUUUCAGCAAGAGGUGUCAGAAAAGUUACCACAGGGAUAACUGGCU
rnacentral:rRNA from 1 species